CUGUUUGGAAGAUAUUCAAAAUACACAGAUACCAGCUUAGAAGCUGUUUCAUGGAAGCUCAAGGUUACAGCACUGACUGCCUCGUGGGCUGGAAAAAUACAUGCUUGAAAGCAAAGGCCAUUAGGGUCCCCCUGCGGCCUCCGAUGAGCCAACAGCUGCCUACAGCUUCUAGGACCUAAGCUGGUCAGAAACAGGGAGCUAAAGAAAACUGUACAGCUUGAAAUGAUCUGGGUUUCAGAGAGGAGGACAAAACUUGCAUGGACGUGUCUGUGAGUACCCUGCCUGAUGUAUGUGGAUUGGCAUAAAAGAGGUGCAGUGAACAACUUCUGCACUGCCGUGAGCUUGACUCCUGGCCUCAAGAUCUUACCCUCCCUAGUGUUGUCUGGAUAUCAGGAUUUUCAUCCCCCAGUCCUUCCUCACAGUGCCCCACAUCCCAGGAACGUGCCAACCAUAGCAUUGCCAACCUCAGUGUGACUACAGGGAAAAAUAGCAGCAAUGGUGCCCAGUGGUCCAACACCUCAGGAGCUUGCUGGGACGCUCAUGGAGGAGACAUGAAUGAAGAGCUGAACUGGGUUGUGUUUCUCUUGCUGAGCUGCUGAGUUCACACAGAAGCUUUAGGCUGUAUUUACAUACUUAACUUAGAAAUGCAAGUUACCAGUCACCCUCCCAACACACAGUCACUUGUAUUCUGGCUCUACAGCCAGAAUUUAGCCCCCCACCACCCUACCAAGAAUGAAUAAAGAACUUAAG